rnacentral:rRNA from 1 species
AUUGAACGCUGGCGGCAGGCUUAACACAUGCAAGUCGAACGAGAGGCGGACGGGUGAGUAAUGCUUGGGAAUCUGGCUUAUGGAGGGGGAUAACGACGGGAAACUGUCGCUAAUACCGCGUACCAUAGGAGGAGCCCAAGUGGUAUUAGGUAGGUGGUGGGGUAAUUGCCUCCCAAGCCGACGAUCUCUAGCGGGUCUGAGAGGAUGACCACCCACACCCGGACUGAGCCACGGCCCGGACUCCUACGGGAGGCAGCCGUGUGGAAUUGUGCGCAAUGGAGGCAACCUGCCGCAGCCAUGCCGCGUGAAUGAAGAAGGCCUUCGGGUUGUAAAGUUCUUUCGGUGACGAGGCGUUAAUCACAGCAGAAGCACCGGCUAACUCCGUGCCAGCAGCCGCGGUAAUAC